rfam:Inquilinus limosus MP06 Ilimosus_MP06_contig00001, whole genome shotgun sequence.
ACCCUUCCAUCCGCGCCGCCGAGCCCCUAUCUUAGGAGUGUCGGGCAACCGACUAUGACGAUAAACGCCUUUUGGAAUAGACGCUGCGGACCCGGGGGCGGUACCCGGCGCCUCCACCAAAUCUCCGGUCGUGGACGGAGCGCGGGGGCGAAAUAGGAUCGACGCGUGUAGUAAAGGGAAGGUUUUCGUCCGGCAUGGUUCCGCCGUUAUCGGGCCAUAGCAAUAGUUGCCAACGACAACUUUGCUGAGGUUCGCGCGGCUGCGUAAGCAGCUAAGCGUCCUCUCUCAAUCCCUCGGCGGUUAGCCCCGUCGAGGUGGGGUCAGGGGCACCCAGCAACAGAACGCCCCGCU